GAGUUUGAUCGUGGCUCAGGAUGAACGCUGGCGGCGUGCCUAACACAUGCAGGUCGAACGGAGUUUAUGAGGAAGAAGCUUCGGCGGAAUUCUUAUAAACUUAGUGGCGGACGGGUGAGUAACACGUGGAGAACCUGCCUCGUUACCGGGGACAGCAGUUGGAAACGACUGAUAAUACCGCAUAAGCGCACGAGACCGCAUGGUCCUGUGUAGAAAAGAUUUAUCGGUAAGAGAUGGCUCCGCGUCUGAUUAGCCAGUUGGCGGGUAACGGCCCACCAAAGCGACGAUCAGUAGCCGGCCUGAGAGGGUGAACGGCCACAUUGGGACUGAGACACGGCCCAGACUCCUACGGGAGGCAGCAGUGGGGGAUAUUGCACAAUGGAGGAAACUCUGAUGCAGCGACGCCGCGUGAGUGAAG
rnacentral:rRNA from 1 species